CGGGGUGUAGCUCAGCCUGGUUUAGAGCGCGUCGUUCGGGACGACGAGGCCGGAGGUUCAAAUCCUCUCACCCCGACCA
rnacentral:tRNA from 1 species